rnacentral:rRNA from 1 species
AAUAGAUACCCUGGUAGUCCAUGCCGUAAACGUUGGGAACUAGAUGUGGGGACCAUUCCACGGUCUCCGUGUCGCAGCUAACGCAUUAAGUUCCCCGCCUGGGGAGUACGGCCGCAAGGCUAAAACUCAAAGGAAUUGACGGGGGCCCGCACAAGCGGCGGAGCAUGCGGAUUAAUUCGAUGCAACGCGAAGAACCUUACCAAGGCUUGACAUAUACCGGAAAGGUCUGGAAACAGUCCCCCCGCAAGGUCGGUAUACAGGUGGUGCAUGGUUGUCGUCAGCUCGUGUCGUGAGAUGUUGGGUUAAGUCCCGCAACGAGCGCAACCCUCGUCUUAUGUUGCCAGCGGUUCGGCCGGGGACUCAUAAGAGACUGCCGGGGUCAACUCGGAGGAAGGUGGGGAUGAGGUCAAAUCAUCAUGCCCCUUAUGGUCUUGGGCUUCACGCAUGCUACAAUGGCCGGUACAAAGGGCUGCAAUACCGCGAGGUGGAGCGAAUCCCGAAAAGCCGGUCUCAGUUCGGAUUGAGGUCUGCAACUCGACCCAUG